AGUAGAUUUCUACUAUUUCACAGAAAGUUGGAAAUUAUUUCAAAAUAUAUAUUUAAGCAUUUAUACCGGUAUUUAUUCUUAAACAAAUAACAAAAAACCCCAAUUCAUAUGAAAUAUACAAACCUUUUGUGACUUGAGUUUGCUUUAAAAUGCUUGUAAGCUUGUAAUGUUUUGUGUAUUUUAAGUAAUUUUUAAAAAGAAUAGAAAAAGAGAGUCAAUAGAAAAUAAGUGUUUGUAGAAAGAAAUAUACAAGGCCUGUCUUUUCAAUGAAAGGAACAAAAAUUGUAGCAUUUGACAAGCUCGGGUAAUGUAUAGAAUUAAAUGUCCAGUUCAUAUCUUUCCAGAUGACAAAUAUUUGAUUUUGAAGCAAACCCAUAUCAUAUAAAAUGUAUAUUUAUUCAUUUUGUAUUUGUUGAUAAUCAAUUUUUAUAGUAAGAUGUUUUUUGUCAUCUGUGCACUUAAUACCUCAGGCAGCUGUGGUCCCACAACAUUUUGUGAAAACAAAAUAUUCAGUGGGUAUGACGGUUCUGCCGUUCUGUUACAAAAUACAAUAGAGUAUAACGUUAAAUCUGCUGAGAGGGUAUUCUGCCAAAUAACUUUUGCGAUUGGUUGAUUUCUUCUACAGAAUUUUCUGAAAUAGGGAUAUCCCUAUGGAAUGAUUUUUGAUGUGACUUUCCAUGGACUAUGCACUUUAUAGGGGAUAUAGUUGUGGUUAUAUGUAUAUGUAUUUGUUGAAUUAUCAUUCAGUUGAAUUCAGUUGUGAUAAAGUAAUGAAUGAAUAAAUGAAUGUCACUU
rnacentral:sRNA from 1 species